CCGUGCAGAGAGGGGCUCGCGGCCUAUCAGCUAGUUGGUGAGGUGAUGGCUCACCAAGGCGACGACGGGUAGCGGGUCUGAGAGGAUGGCCCGCCACAUUGGGACUGAGACACGGCCCAG
rnacentral:rRNA from 1 species